AGCUCCAAGAGCGUAUAUUAAAGUUGUUGCAGUUAAAAAGCUCGUAGUUGGAUUUCUGGUAUAAUGCGCCUGGCCCGCGACGGUUACGUCUGUGAGUGCCGGUGCGCGUUUGCCAUCCUUCUAGAAAACGUUUCUACCCUUCGCUGGGCCGGAUUCGCGAUCUAGAUCUUUUACUUUGAAAAAAUUAGAGUGUUUAAAGCAGGCUUUUGCUAUGAAUACAUUAGCAUGGAAUAAUAAUCUAGGACUUCGGUUCUAUUUUGUUGGUUUCUAGUACUGAAGUAAUGAUUGAUAGGGAUAGUUGGGGGUGCUAGUAUUGGCCGGCCAGAGGUGAAAUUCUUGGAUUCGGUCAAGACUAACUUAUGCGAAAGCAUUCACCAAGGAUGUCUUCUUUAAUCAAGAA
rnacentral:rRNA from 1 species